rnacentral:lncRNA from 1 species
GGGAUCUGUGGUGCCUGGUCAACUGGAGCGAAAGAGUUAGCGGGAUUAACAAGAAACCAGAACCGCUAAAGUAAAACCUUUGAUUGGCUGGGACAAUGGAUGCUGGUCACCUGGCACUAAUGAAUCAGCUGUGAUUAAGACGAGACCAGCAUCACUGAGGUGAAAUCUAGGAAAUGUUUCCUCAGGGUCAGCACACAGAGGCUGUGUUUCAGAGGUGGCCGAGGUUGUACCUCCUGUUGGCAGCUGAGCUGGGUCGUGUUGAGAAUCACUUAGGUGUUGGUGUUGGUUUCAAAGGUGUGAAAGUGGAGAGCAGCUGAGGCUUGGCACUGCAUAGCAGGGUAAAGGGAGCUCAGGAGAGGCUCCUGGUGAAAGUGGAGCCCAGUUACAGCAGAAGACUCCAGUACUGGGGGAUGCCAAACAGCAGAGAAGUACAGCCAAUCAGAACCUAAGAAGACAAGCUAUGUGUGCUGAAGAGGGCAGAGUCAGAGACAUGCCCUUUGGAGGAGCCCAGAAGAUGCCCCUACAGACACCUCUCUGCUUUCUGUGUCAGUGGUUUGAUGACAGCAGGAACCUGACGAACAAAAUCGAUGGUGCCUUUCCUGCGACUGGCUUGUUUCACUUAGCACAAUGCCUUCAAGAUCCUGGCAUGCUGUAUAGCAUACACCAGAAUGCUUUUCCUUUGA